UACCCCGUAGAUCCGAAUUUGUG
rnacentral:miRNA from 1 species